rnacentral:rRNA from 1 species
GACGAACGCUGGCGGCGUGCCUAACACAUGCAAGUCGUGCGAGAACGUCUUCUUCGGAAGACUAGUACAGCGGCGAACGGGUGAGUAACACGUGAGCGAUCUGCCCAGAGGUGGGGGAUAGCCCAGGGAAACCUGGAUUAAUACCGCAUACAGCGUCAGGCUUGGAUACCUGACGUGAAAGCUGGCCUCUUCUAAGCUAGCGCCACUGGAUGAGCUCGCGGCCUAUCAGCUUGUUGGUGGGGUAACGGCCUACCAAGGCGAUGACGGGUAGCUGACGUGAGAGCGUGAUCAGCCACAUUGGGACUGAGACACGGCCCAGACUCCUACGGGAGGCAGCAGUGGGGAAUAUUGCGCAAUGAGCGAAAGCUUGACGCAGCGACGCCGCGUGGGGGAGGAAGGCCUUAGGGUCGUAAACCCCUGUCAGAUGGGACGAACCGUAGAUCGGUUAAUAUCUGGUCUGCCUGACGGUACCAUCAGAGGAAGCUCCGGCUAACUCCGUGCCAGCAGCCGCGGUAAUACGGGGGGAGCAAGCGUUGUUCGGAAUUACUGGGCGUAAAGGGCGCGUAGGCGGCCUAGUAAGUCGAGUGUGAAAUGCCGGGGCUCAACUCCGUGCACUGCAUUCGAUACUGCCUGGCUAGAGAAAGGUAGAGGCGAGCGGAAUUCCCGGUGUAGCGGUGGAAUGCGUAGAUAUCGGGAA